rnacentral:rRNA from 1 species
UACAGAGGUCUCAAGCGUUGUUCGGAUUCAUUGGGCGUAAAGAGCUCGUAGGCGGUGUGUCACGUCGUUCGUGAAAACCUGCAGCUUAACUGUGGGCGUGCGGUCGAUACGGGCAUCACUGGAGUUCGGCAGGGGAGACUGGAAUUCCUGGUGUAGCGGUGAAAUGCGCAGAUAUCAGGAGGAACACCAAUAGCGAAGGCAGCUCGCUGGGACGGUACUGACGCUAAGGCGCGAAAGCGUGGGGAGCGAACAGG